rfam:Pasteurellaceae bacterium NI1060 genome.
GGACGAACCCUUGGAGAGAUCCAUUGCACAAUGCUGUAAAUGGACGCCGAAGGCGCAAAAGAGCGGUUGUUUUUAACACCGUUUUUCAAACGCUCAGGCAAAAGGACAGGGGCUAAAAG